GGAACUUGAUGCUUUUAAGAUUCAGGAGUGA
rnacentral:piRNA from 2 species